AGUUUCCUGCGGUGUGCGCCUGGAGCCACAGUCUCUUGGCUCAACAUACACAAAUGGGUAGCGGUAUAGCUGAUUUGCAUUGAUCCGACUCCUUCGGGGUUUAAUGGAACAGAAUUUUCAGCGUAACUAGCAGCCCCCUUGAACCAAUGGUUCAAGAGCAUUCUCCGGGUACGGCACCGCAGGUUUUAU
rnacentral:sRNA from 1 species